GUAAAACGCAGAACACAGAACACUUUGACAGACAAAGUGAUGAAGGAUAAAUAUUGAAGAUAGUGUCGAUAUGAUUUAUGCCUUAAUGAACUUCUAGUUGUAACUUUACUGGAUAAGCUGCAACACAAUCGACGUAAAGUUAGAGAUUACACUCAGAAGCCACGUUGAAGUAUCUUCUUGCGAAAUGACGAUCCCAUCAGAAACAAUAAACACCAAGACAACAAGUAUGGCUGAAGCGGCUCGUUCACAUCACACGUGCACCACGUGCAAACAGAGACCGAAAACCAUGUUACUUCUGCCAUGCAGCCACCUGGCGGCCUGUGAACAAUGUGUCGCCGACAUGAGCUGUUGUCCGAUGUGCUCUAGAACUGUCAGCUGCGUAAUACGGACGUUUAUCAUUUAAUUGGUUCAAAUAUCAAAUAUCAAUUUAUCGUGAAACUUUGUAUGUGGAAUGAUACGUUUUUAUGGUAGAGAAUCUGGUUGUUUUACUGUGUGUUUUUUUCCAGUUCAAUACAAGGUUUAUGUAUGUGUUGACAACUUCUUUUAUUGUAUCAGUUUGUAAAUAUAAGUAUAACACAUAAAUUCAUAAGUAGAUUCUUGUCAAAACGUAAACACCUUAAAUGACUGUUCAAUAGAUUUGUUCACAAUAUAGUGUUGAUAAACACAAUCCUGAAGUCUCGAUGAAUAAUAUAAAUUAUAAAUUUAAUUAUAAUUGCACGUAUUGGACUUUUAAAUGAACAU